ensembl:lncRNA
CGAAGGCAGCCCGCCAGCCUGCUUAGCAUUCGGCUCUCACUGCUGGGAGCAACCGCGUCUGCUAAAGAGCUGAGCUCAGCGGCUCCGAGCAUCUUCGUCCAGUGUUCCCCCCAUCCUGGCUCGUCAUAUGAUUUCUCCUAAGGGAUAACUGCUGAGCGGGACCACAUCUCCAAGCUGAUCCUUUGCUGAUAAGACAGCUGCCAAGUCUCCAGCACUAAGACAAAAGAGUUUUUCUCUUCCCAGCAGGUUUUUCUGCUGUGAAUGACAGAGGAAGGGGGAAAAGCAAGCUGCCUGGCAAUCCUUGUGGGCAAGAGGCUUUGGGGGCUUCUUCCCCCCCGCUGUGGUGGCAGACCAUGGAGCUUUUCAGGCUGAGCCUGGGCUGUAUUUGCCUCCUUCCUUGGCUUGAGGCUAAAACCAUUGAUUCAUCAAAGAUCGAUGCCAUGGACAGAGAAACUUCUGUGAGCUUUACUGACCCACCUCUGGCUACCAAAUUUAACAGCACAGUGUCUCCAGUGAAGACCAAACAGGCAUACCUCCCGGCAAAUGAGGAUGCAUCCCACAAUCACUCUAAAAAGCACCAUGGAAAUCGAGGAAAAAAUGCUGGGGCCAGGCUUGCAGGCACCAACUGGAAAACAGCCAUGCUGGUUCUCAGCCCCUUGGCAUUCAUACUGGGAUUAAUAAUACUGACACUCAAUGUUCACUACAACAAGAAAAAGAAAAUUCUCUCUGCUCUGAAGAGCUCCCCAGACAACAGCAGCAGAGCUGACUUACGGGAGCCGUCUCCCUUACGAAGAGGUCCCCAGCCAUACCUUCCACCAUCUCGCUCCCCUUCCUUGAGGCAUGGAGAGAUACUCAUCGAGUGGAAAGAUGGGACUGUCACUCCUCUUUUUGAUAAUGCCAAUUAUCAAAUGGACUAGCUCCAAAUUAGCGGAGCUGUUGUUCCAUCCUGUGUCACUCUUCCCAUCAGGAAGAGUGCCACCAUAGCCAAUCUCCUCCCUAGACUUGUUUUGACAGGGAGUUGUAAGCGCUGUUUGAGAUUUUUUAACACUUGAGAACAAUCUCCUUGCACAGCACGAGGUUGAAGCAAGCAGAGCAGAUUGUUUGGUUUGCAUAGGCACAUGCUGCUUAGCUCUUCCAGAGCUAAUUUAACCCCUAACAAAACCUAGAUUUAGCUAAAUGAAGCCAAGUCUCUCACCAGCUGCAACUGUCCAUUGACCUGAAAUUCUAGUUACUGAGCAUAUGAAAAAGUCCUCAGAGCCAAGGUGUAAGGUGAAAAACGGAAGUUUUGAUGAUCCUUAAAUCCUUUUUAAGAUAAAACUAGCUGCCAACAGACACAGAAGGCUGUCAGUUACUUUGUCAAUGUGAGAACAUUGAUAAUAAGCAUUGCCUUCAGGACUCAAAAGAUUAGUCUCCUCCAGACAUCUGCCAAAAUACUCCUCCCACUAAGUUAUCAAUUAAGUAAUAGCAAGCAAUUUUUCUAACUUAAAAGGAGCACUCCAUCAUUCUCUCUGCACCACUGUGAGAGUUCUGCUGAGAGAAUGCGUUCUCAAAAUAUUUCCAUAUUUAGGAUGUAUUGGACCUUAUUAUAACACAUAUCCUCUUUCUUUAUGUAGAAUGACACGUAAUGUCAGUGGUGCUUGUCAGGGAUAUUACAUUAUCCAGCCAUUUUAUACCAGUUUCAGCCCCUGAUUUCCUAUAAUAUGGAAUAGUCAAUGAACAAAUAUACUGCUCCCAUCUAGAGCAGUAAUAUAGUGGGGAUUUUUUUCUAGAAAGCAAUAAAGCACAGUUUACAGCUUUUUACGCA